rnacentral:rRNA from 1 species
GAUGAACGCUGGCGGCGUGCCUAAUACAUGCAAGUCGAGCGAACAGAUGAGGAGCUUGCUCCUCUGACGUUAGCGGCGGACGGGUGAGUAACACGUGGAUAACCUACCUAUAAGACUGGGAUAACUUCGGGAAACCGGAGCUAAUACCGGAUAAUAUAUUGAACCGCAUGGUUCAAUAGUGAAAGACGGUUUUGCUGUCACUUAUAGAUGGAUCCGCGCCGCAUUAGCUAGUUGGUAAGGUAACGGCUUACCAAGGCAACGAUGCGUAGCCGACCUGAGAGGGUGAUCGGCCACACUGGAACUGAGACACGGUCCAGACUCCUACGGGAGGCAGCAGUAGGGAAUCUUCCGCAAUGGCCGAAAGCUUGACGGAGCAACGCCGCGUGAGUGAUGAAGGUCUUCGGAUCGUAAAACUCUGUUAUUAGGGAAGAACAAAUGUGUAAGUAACUAUGCACGUCUUGACGGUACCUAAUCAGAAAGCCACGGCUAACUACGUG